rnacentral:rRNA from 1 species
UCAAAGGAAUUGACGGGGACCCGCACAAGCGGCGGAGCAUGCGGAUUAAUUUGAUGCAACGCGAAGAACCUUACCAAGGCUUGACAUAUACGAGAACGGGCCAGAAAUGGUCAACUCUUUGGACACUCGUAAACAGGUGGUGCAUGGUUGUCGUCAGCUCGUGUCGUGAGAUGUUGGGUUAAGUCCCGCAACGAGCGCAACCCUCGUUUAUGUUGCCAGCACGUAAUGGUGGGAACUCAUGGGAUACUGCCGGGGUCAACUCGGAGGAAGGUGGGGAUGACGUCAAAUCAUCAUGCCCCUUAUGUCUUGGGCUUCACGCAUGCUACAAUGGCCGGUACAAAGGGCUGCAAUACCGUGAGGUGGAGCGAAUCCCAAAAAGCCGGUCCCAGUUCGGAUUGAGGUCUGCAACUCGACCUCAUGAAGUCGGAGUCGCUAGUAAUCGCAGAUCAGCAACGCUGCGGUGAAUACGUUCCCGGGUCUUGUACACACCGCCCGUCAAGUCAUGAAAGUCGGUAACA